UAUGUGAUUUUGCAUGGCAAGUACCGUAAUCCGGUGAAUAUAAUACGCACUUUUUCCCCAGCAUUUUUUACCUUCAGAAAGGGGUGCGUAUUAUACAUCCCUAUAGGAUUUGGGCAUAUUUUUUCCUAGCAGAAGCACAGGGUAUCAUACUGCCGUAUUACCUAUGCUGUUCACAGACAGAAUCGAUACCCCGCUAUACAUCGUAAUAUUCCUUCAUUAUCACAUAUAUAUUACUAUGUAACCCCUUUAGGAAAUCAUUGUUAUAGCAUGUAAUUAAAGAAAAUGUACACUUUAAGUCUGUUAAUAAAUAAACUGUUUCAAAAUGGCCUUUAAAAAUUAAUUUGAACUGCCUAUUCUUUAUCUUCGUGUACGCCGCCAUUACAGCUGUUAGUAAUAGAAUGCGGACUUGGAUGGCCACGUGCUAUUUGACGCCGAUCUUUGAAAACAGCUUACACAUCAUUUGGCUCAUUUUUAACCAUUUUCAUUUAAUGCUAAUUAAUUUAUUGCAAAUAAUUAUGAAUAUAAAUGAUUCUAUAACCUAUUCCGUUAAUUGAAGCCAUUGAAACAGUUGUGGUUCCCCACCGCUAACGCUUGACACCUUGGGUAUCUCAGACACCCCCUUAGGCUAUGUGUACUAUACACAACACAACUAUUUGUGCAUAUAUUUUAUUAUGUUCCAGGCCUCUAAUUGAUCACUUUGAUCGGAGUCAUUUAAGAAUUUAAUUACAUGUAGGUCCGUUAUCUCCAUACCUGUACAUCGUCCGUUUUUCACUUUACAGGGAUUGUAAUGACUAAACAAUUCUAUCACGCUUGUUAAAAGUAGUUGAUUUUAUUUACGGUAGAAUAUUUAAUACUAGGUCUAUAAAAAAAACAUUGAUUACGAAAUAAAGAUAUUACCGCGGUGUAUUAGUUACAAUAAAUCCGUAUCUAAGAAAAUAUUGUGUUUUUCUUAUUUCCGGUAGCGUAUUCCCGCGAUGAAGUUGAGCGUGCAUACAAAGUAUAACUGCUUUGUUGAUACUCAGGAUUACCGUUUGGUCAGUUUUUUUGAUGCGUAUUAUACAUCCCAACAAGCUUUUUUUCACCAUUUUCAGGCCCAAAGUGGGGGGUGCGUAUUGUACACUACUGCGUAUUAUAUUCACCGGAUUACGGUAGUAUCAGUAAUCGAAAUAUUUCUGGGAUAUUGUAUGGAUCCAGGCAAGAUUGAACUCUAGUUUUGUUCAACCAAACGCUCGACUGUCUCCGUUUAUCUCCGACAAGCAAGAGAGACUCUCUGUUUUGUCAGAUAUUAACGGAGACAGUCGAGCGUCUGGUUGAACAAGACUAUAGUACGUAUGAAAUCAUACGACUACAAAAAAUAUCUAAACGGUUUGUAACAUUUAAAAUCUUACUAUUUUCAUGGUAUUAAUAAAUAGGUUUUUCAGGAACUAAGUGUUGUCAGCGGUAUUGUUUUGUGCUUAGGUCCAAACGCUGUUUCACUUUCGGUUUGCCCGAGUAAGUGCAUUAGGAGAGUUGAUUAAAAUCAACUCCCAAAAAUUAAGCCUUAAGAACCCACCUCAGAAAUAUGCUAUACAAAAUUUAAUUAGGAAACAGUAUGUCCUGCAGAGGGUCACUUCAGAGCAAUAUUUUGAUUAUGAAUUAACAUUAAAUAAGCGUUUUACUGCCUAGAGUAUCUAAAAUGCAUUUCUAAAUCUAAAAUUUGUAAGCAUACUAGCAGAAUUUUAUUCUGUUCAUCUAAUGAUUAAAGUGAGCAAUGCGAAAUGUAAAAUUAAAUAGCCGCUAGCCAGAGAACUAAGGAAUUAAUUUUGAUGGCCGAAAUCAUUUUCAAUUGCAUAAAUUGAUUCUGGCUUGUUUUUUCAUAUUUUAUUCAACUUUUAUCUAAUAAUCACAAUUUAUCUGUUUCUUUAAAGUUAACAAACAUACCUGCUCUUUGAAAACAUUCAAAGAUUGUAGAAACUCUGCAUUUUUUCUGAGGUUCUCGUCUCUCUUCUUCACACUGGCUUCCCUUUUCUUCGGUUGUUCUGCUUUGUUUUCUAUGGAGAAAGAUAUUUCAUUACCGGUACUUGAAAAGACUUAACUAUUUUGUCAAGAUUGGUAGCUUAUUAUUCCACAAAACAAAUAUAUUUGGCUUCUUAUCCAUGUUAAUUGCAGAGAUAUUGAUUGAAGCUUACUAAAUUCAAAAAUAUAUUCAUUAUUUGUCUUCUUUACAGGGGUAUAUAGUCAUGAUUUUUGUUAGAUCAUUAGGAAUGCAUUACUAAAGCAUCAUAAGCAAUAAAAAUAGAAAAACAAAAUUUAGCCCAAAAGUGUGACCAUGCUGCUUUAAAGGUACUUAAACACGAUUUUAGAUGAAAAUUUUAUUUUUCAUUUCGUAAAAUGGUUUACUUGUGUAAUUUGAAUGAUUCACCAAAAUUUGAAUGUUAGAAAUUAAAUAACAAGCAAGAUAAAUUGCUGCUAUGUAAACAAAGCUCGGGUCUUAUAUUUGUUUACAAAUAAUGUAAAGAUAUUAUCAUUUCUUUGACAAAACUUGUGGCAAACAAUGUAAACUGAUUUAAUGUGUUCAUAAAUUAUUUUAUCAACAAUAAAAAGCAAUAUUAGAUUGAAACUUGUACUUUUAUAACACAUAUUUUAACAAUAACAGGACUCGAGCUUUGCUUAAAAACAAAGAAAUCUAACCACCGUAACUCACUUGUUACUUGAUAUUUGACUUUCAACUUUUGACAAAGCUAUCAAAAUAUCCAUAUUGACAAUUCUAAAUUGAAAUAAUUGUGUGCGAAAAAUUUGAGCUCAAAUCGUGUCCAAGUUCCUUUAACAUGACAAUGCAGAGUAAGUAAUACAGUAACAGAUAUAAACCUUUGUUGUCAGAUGUCUUUGAUUUCUUUUGAUGGUCAUCCUUUUUUACUUGGCUCUUUCUUCCUCUUUUGGCAACAGGUUUGUCUAAAAAACAAAUAUAAAAAUGCUAUUACGAAUUCCAAUGAUGCAUUGUAUUUUGAAGUCAUUUACAUGCCAUUUCAAUACUUGUCUUUUGUAUAAAUCAUCUCAUAGUAAUUACUUUCUAAAACAUGUUAUUUAAAAGAACGCAUAUUUUUCUUACAUACCCAAAAAUUCUUGGGAAAUUUUCAAAAUAACUUAACAAAUGUCUCUUUUUUAUCCCCAAUUUUUUUUUUUUUCAAUAUUUUGUUUUUGUUGCACAGUUAGGCUAAAACACAGAUAUAUUACUCAACCACAUCAAUUAUUUACUAGACUAAACCAGUCUAUUUAAUGAUAAACUUGAAAAGCUGAAAGACCCUCUCAUUUUGAAAAAAAAAAAAUUAUUUCCUUAAAAAAAAAGUGCAUGUCAAUAUCCUAGUAUUAUGAGCAUGAGCACUGAUAUAUCAAAACUGGUAUCUUACCAAUGGGAACUGCAACAUUGUUAUUCAGAUCUUGGACAUUCACGUCUUCCACACUUUUUUCUGGAAAGAAAAAUAUAAAACACUCUCAAAUUGUUACACAAAAGGACUUGCUGAUCCUUAGCAUUUAUAAUGUUCUUUUUAUUGUAGUAGUGUCAAUUGAUAGUGAAAAAAGUUGUAUAUUAUUACAUAAUAGGUUUUGUACUAUCUGACUACAAAAAUAUAUUGGAUUUAUCAAUCUCAUGGACAGUGAUGCGAAGCCGAUAGAACUAAUCCUAUCUUUUGUGUUCUCUCUCUUUCCCCCGCAGAGGUUUGACUUUGAACAAAUCUCGACCCUUCUCCAGAAACAACAAAGUGACGUUAGGGAAACUAAGUACUCCAAAUAGUUUAAAAACAUACAGAACCCAUUUUUUGUAUAAAAUAUUAUGAAGUGUCAUGGUAAGUAAUGAAGCAUCGUCCAUAUUUGCCAAAUGUAAAUUCGUGACAUUUGGAAUGGUAAUAAGUCAACCUAGGUACAUGUAUUUCACUUAAUAAGUGAUUUUAAGAUGCAUAAUUACCCUUCUGUUUUUCAUUUUUCUCUGCAAUGUAUUCCUCUGCCAUUUUCUCCAAUGCUUUCUUUCCCUCUGUUGUUGAUUCUAAAUCAUGGUAAGAGAAAACAGAUUAAUUUAUAUUUAAAUUCAUAAAAUGAUAAUAACAAUACUAUUUAUAGUUCAAAUUAAAUUUUUGGGCGCAGAGGGCACACAAGACUACAAUAGUAAGAGAAAAAUAUAACUAUGUACUUCUACUAUAGGUUGGGUGCACGUGCAUUUAGAUCUGCACUUCAAUUUGAAAUAAACAACAAAGAAUUCAGUUAUAAAAAGCCUAUAACAAAAUAAUUCGUUUUUUAACUAAAAAACUGAUAUGCAUGCCUUAAAAACACAAACCUUUGAUCAUCAAAAUCCGUGCACUAUGGAUUCCUGGAAAGCCAUGGCAGCUAGCUUUCACCGUUUCACCCACGUUGUAGCCGUUAAAAUCUUUCCUCGGUUCUUUAAUUCGAGUCAGACUGAUUGUGCUUACUUUUUCUUCGUCUAUCCAUUCCACAAGCGCGUGCAUCUUGUUUGUAAAUAUGGGUAAAUUAUUCCUUAUUCCCUUCGACCUUUUGGCCUUUCACCUACGGUCUUGCUUAAUUUUUCAAACUGGUCAAUGUGACCAAUGAAAAUGCUUCGUUUUCCCGCAAAGACUUUUGACCAAUCAGCGAGGAGAAUGCUUCAACAUCGGAAAUUAAUAGACUAUUGAAAUAUAGUUUAAUUGAACUUAUAAGAUAACCAGUUGAUAAUAAUUUGUGGUUUUCAUAUAUAAUAACAUUUAUCAAACUGUCGUCACUUCACUGAUCGAUAGUUAAACCUUUAUAAUGAAACUUCGGCAAUACGGAAAAUGCCGAUCUCUUUUCUUCCGGUUACAACAUCCGGUAAAAUCGAAGAAGAAGGCGCCAUUAUUGAAUGUAGAAACAUGAAUCCCCAAAAACGCAGUCGGUAUAAAGUUUAUCUCGCUGAUAAAUCUGUCCCAGUUCCGAAAGUUUCGCUUUGGCGAAUGACGAAAGAAGAAAAUACAUAUGAUGAACGCAAUGAAGCCUCCUUCCCAAGAGACCAUGUCCGACGAUGCUCCAGUGAAAUUCAUAGAUUCGUUUCACCAGCAAGCAUUUCCCGACAACCUGGGUGUACCUAACAUUUCUGAUGCUGAAGAAGAGCAAGGAGAAUUUGCAAGCAAGGCCAUUAGAGGAUUGAAGAUGAGGACUUUGAGCAAGAUGAAGACUGUUGUGAUAGUGAUCAGACCAGUGUCCCUUCCAAUGCAGGAAAUACGUUGGAAGCUGAUCAGCCUCUAUACAGUGGAGCUACUAUAACCCUGGCCACAAGCAUGAUUCUGCUGAUUUCGUAUGCAAUGCAACACUCUUUGACUGGGGAAGCCAUAGCUGAUCUACUGGUCCUGAUAGACCUGCAUUGCCUCACACCAAAUCUGUGCCAGCGGAACAUAAAAACCUUCAUGGACUUCUUUAGGAACUGUAAAUCACCUUUACAGUUCCAUUACUAUUGUGAGAACUGUUACUGAGUUCCUGAAUUUCUUAAAAAUAUUAAAUAUGUACUCUUAAAUGAAACCAGCUGUGUAAUGGUAAUUGUAAUAAAUAAAAUGUUAUUAUUGCCUCUGAGAGCACUGAAUCUAUCAUUUUCAUUUUUGGCAUUAAUAUGUCUGAUUUGACUGUCUUUCAAAUUUAUAAAGCAAGUAAUAUGUAUGAUAGAUUUGUGUGCAAAGGUGGCAUAUUACAUGAUGACUGUAUAUUGCAUUUUGUUUUAUUUUUACUACAUGUACUAUAAGUCAAAAUUGUUAUGUGCAGGAGUAGUAUUCAAAUGAAAGUGUAUGGAACGAAAUACUUAAAAAAGUUAAAUGAAAAAAUAAAUGCAUGCAUAAAAUCUCACUAGAACAUACAAUGAAAUGUAGAUACCGGUAAAUGAGAUUGGAAAUGUUAUUCGGCAAAUUCUUUAAAAAAUCAUUAAAAAAAAAUAAAAAUAAGACUAUCUCCAAAAAGGCACACUUUUGGUACACCAGCUUUAGUUUAAAAUUACUAAGUCUAAAUUAGAUACAUUUUAGGCACACUGAAAAUUUUCUAAGUCCAUCAGGAAAAAUACUUAAAACAGUUAAAAAUUUCUAAGUUCCAAUUAGGCACAUGUUAGGUACCUAUAAAAAUAUCUAAGUUAAUAAUAGGCACAUUUCAGGCACACUGCAAAAAGACAAAGUCCAGCAUAGGUAUCUUAUAGGUACACUGCAAAAAGUUUAAGUCCAGCAUAGGCAUUUUAUAGGUACACCAUGAAAAAGAUAAGUCCAGUAUAGGCACAUAGUAGGUACAUUGAAAAAAAUAUAAGUUCAUUUUUGAUACUUUUGAGGUAAGCCCUUUUUUGUACCUAUUUUAAUAGGUACAUAUGAAGUACUCUUUAGGCACAGAUAAAGUAUGCCUAUAUGUACUUUUUUUUGGUAUGGGAUGAAUUGAAAGGGUGAAGAACUUGAUUGUAUUAUUAUUAUAACUACCGAAUGUGUUCAAGCCUUGAAUUGCCCUUUGCCCCCCCUUUCUAGCACUGUAUACAUUCCUUUCUAAUGAAGCAUGUUGGUCGUG